rnacentral:rRNA from 1 species
CCUACGGGAGGCAGCAGUGAGGAAUAUUGGUCAAUGGGCUUACGCCUGAACCAGCCAAGUCGCGUGAGGGAAGACUGCUCUAUGGGUUGUAAACCUCUUUUGUCAGGGAGCAAUUGGCGCUACGUGUAGCGUAAUCGAGAGUAACUGAAGAAAAAGCAGCGGCUAACCCCGUGCCAGCAGCAGCGGUAAUAUGGAGGAUGAGAGGGUUAUCCGGAUUUGUUGGGUUAAAGGGUUGCGUAGGAGGAAUGCCAAGUAAGCGGUAAAAUCGAGGGGCUAAACCUUGAUCCGCCGUUGAAACUGGCAUUCUUGAGUAGGCGAGAGGUAGGUGGAAUGCUUGGUGGAGGGGUAAAAUGCAUAGAGAUCAAGAAGAACUCUGAUUGCGAAGGCAACAUACCGGCGCACAACUGACGCUGAUGCACGAAAGCGUGGGUAUCGAACAGGAUUAGAUACCCCUGUAGUC